GUUAACAUGCUUCCAUCAUCUAUCUUUCUUUUUCGUUUCUGAGCUUUCCCAAAAUCGUUGACAUAAUCCUUAAGAGUAACCAAACCGUUGCUACCAAACAUAAUUUUAUGUUUUUUUCCCUUCAUGUCCAUCAAACAAAGAUUUCUUUUUCCUUAAUGGAUGAGAUGAUGACAAAAAUCUCCUAUGACCCUUUGCAAAUUUUCUACUGAAUUUUAACCACUACGAGUGAGUAUCCUCAGAAUAUGUAUGGCAACCUAUCCUACCCUUAAUUUUACAUUUAGCUAAAUUUCCAAGAGCUGGUAAAUCAUUAAUAGUCCACUUAAGUAUUGCUCUCAAGUUGAAGACUACAUUAAUGUGUGCAUUAUACACAUUCAUGCCAAUAUUCCACAAUUCGUUCAAGUAAUCUAUAAGUGGUUGUAAAUAUAUAUCAAUAUCAUUCCCAGACUGUUUAGGCUCUGGAAUAAACAAUGACAACAUGAUAUCUUCUUUUUUCAUGCAUAACCAUGGUGGUAGAUUAUAAAUGACCAACAUCACUGGCCAACAACUAUAAGUAGAUUGAAUGGAUUGAAACCAUUUGUAGCAAGUCCAAGCCUAAGAUUGCUUGGAUCAUUUGCAAACUCUGGCCACUUGUUGUCAAUUAAAGCCCAAGAUGGAGAAUCCGCUGUAUGGCGCAUUUUACCAUCAAUACUCUAAUUGGUUGAAUGACACAUUAAUGAUUCAGCUAUCUUUGGUGCACUAAACAUCCUCUGGAAUCUAGGUUUUAUAGGAAGGUUAUAUUAAGAUCUUAGCAGGUAUACCAUUUUUACUCUUUCAUGUCUACUUAUCGACCUUCCAUCUCAAAGGACCACAUUUUGGACAACUAUCUAGUUCAUUUUUAUCGUUUCUAAGCAAAUAGAAAUCAUUGACACAUGCAUGAAUCUUCUUAUAUCCUAAAUCAAAUGUCUUAAGAAAUUUUCUUACACAUAGUGUGGAUGUAAGAAUUACACCUUAAGGUAACAUAUCAUGUAAUAUGUUUAGAAGUUCUGUAAGGCUAUUAUUUGACUGGUCACUAAUAGUUUUAAGCUUAUAUAAGGUCACAAUUGAAGAUAAUUUUGUGUAUUUUUCAUUUUCUGAAUACGACGGAGUUUUAGCAUCCUUCAACAAUCAACUAAUGUCAUAUCCAAAUUCUCUUCGAAAGCUUCCUUCUUAUGUUCUUCAUUCAUAUGUGCAGCUUCAAACAAGUUGAAUAUUUCAGUCUUACUUGUUUCAACAUUACUAAUUAGUCUUUCUCUGUGGUGAAACCAAUUUGUGUAAGUCGGAUCCAUUUCUCUUAUGACCAAAUACUCGUGAACGAUAUUUACAUGUUGAAAGCUUAAGUUCCAACAACCUUUACAAGGACAUAAAAUUUUAUCUAGUUUGCCUAAAUUAUGAUAAGUAUUGAUGACAAAAAUUUUCGAAGCUUUUAUGUACUCUUGUGAACCACUAACAAUUUUAAAAGACAAUGUUUUAAGAUAUUAUCUUAAAAUAUGAAGUAUAUAAAUUACAUUAAAAAGUACAAAUUACCUGUUAAGAUGCACCACUUCUUUAUCCAUAAUUUGUGGGAACCCAAAUAUUAUCCUAGUAGUAUAUAUGAGUAUACCUAUAUUCGAAAUGGAACAUUUCAAUCUUAUAUUCAGUAGUAUUUCGCACUACACAACAAAGACAAAAUCUAAAGAAACUUCUAACAUAUCACUUGACUAAAUAUUCAACAGAUGCUGUUAUUAAUGAUAUGAAAAGAGUUGGGCUGGAAUUCAGAUAUUAUAGGUUGAAAACAACUAAUUAACUAAGAAUUCUUGAUUACUUGACUAAACUGUUGUCUUUAUGGAUUUUUCCAUCACACCAUCUCUGGACAAAAAUUUCAGCGCUUAAACAUUUACUUAAGUCUCUAAAUGUAAUGAGAUGAGAAUGAAUUUUGUUACUCUAGAAAGAUAACUUUAUAUACAACAAUUAAUUAAAAUGGCAGAAUCCACUCAGCCUAAAACCUUACAUAAAACUGAAUUUAUCUCCCAAAGUUGCAAAGAUCCUGUGUUGCAUUAGAUUCUAGUGCACAGAGCUGUGACGAUCCAAUUUAAUAACUGAAAAAAAAUACCUUCUUAUGGAUAUAAAGAAGAAACAAUCCCUACCGAUCUCCUGAUUCAAAUCAUAUAUGCUUCAAAACUUCCCUUCCACAAUUGAAAAAAUAAAAACUACAGAACAAAGAAAAACGACAGAAUCAGCAAUGAGAUAUGAAAAUUUGGGAUAAAUUCGUUGUUAUUUGGGGAAAUUUUCUGAAAAAAAAUUACUCAAACCAAAAGAGAGAUAGAGAGGCAAAGAAAUUAAUGUAGGGAAGAUGGAGA
rnacentral:lncRNA from 1 species